GACGAACGCUGGCGGCGUGCUUAACACAUGCAAGUCGAGCGGUAAGGCCCUUUCGGGGGUACACGAGCGGCGAACGGGUGAGUAACACGUGGGUGACCUGCCCUCAGCUCUGGGAUAAGCCUGGGAAACCGGGUCUAAUACUGGAUAUGACUCCAUGACGCAUGUUGUGGGGUGGAAAGCCUUGUGCGGCUGAGGAUGGGCCCGCGGCCUAUCAGCUUGUUGGUGGGGUGANGGCCUACCAAGGCGACGACGGGUAGCCGGCCUGAGAGGGCGACCGGCCACACUGGGACUGAGAUACGGCCCAGACUCCUACGGGAGGCAGCAGUGGGGAAUCUUGCGCAAUGGGCGAAAGCCUGACGCAGCGACGCCGCGUGAGGGAUGACGGCCU
rnacentral:rRNA from 1 species